rnacentral:RNase_P_RNA from 1 species
CAAGUAUGCCAGAUGGUCGCGGGCACGGUACGAAAGAAAGUGUCUGAGGAAAGUCCGGGCUCCGCAGGGCAGGAUGCCGGUUAACGGCCGGUGAAGGUGACUUCAAGGAAAGUGCAACAGAAAACAACCGCCCGCGCAUGCGGGUAAGGGUGAAAAGGCGAGGUAAGAGCUCACCGCCGCGGU